UUUCUUUCAUAAUUCUUUCUUAUCAUAAUUAAGGAUGUUCAUGUCAUUUUAUUAAUAUUGCAUAUUUCUUUCUUAUCAUAUUUUUCUUUCAUUUUCUCUCAUAUCAAACUAUUUAGUAAUCUCUUUUUUCAUUUUAUUUUAUUUUCUUUAAUAAAUGGUCGUUCGAGAUAUAGUACAAACAAACAUUAAUAGAUGUAAAUGUUUCCUAUGUUUUUGAAUAGUUUUUUGAUUCAUUGAGAGGUUACAUAUUGUUAACUUUGAUUUUAGGGUAAGCUCCAAAAAUUGUUAAAUUGUGAAUAUUGAAAAGCCCUGGAGAAGCUUAUGAUAGACUACAUAGAGAGAUUUUGUGGAAAGCUUUGGAGAAGAAAGGGGUGAGGAUUGCCUAUAUUAGAGUUAUCCAUGAUAUGUAUGAGGGAGCUUCGACUAGUGUGAGGACGCAGGAUGGGGAUACUGUAGAUUUUCCCUUAACAAAAGGACUCCACCAAGGGUAAACCCUAAGUCCUUAUCUCUUUACUCUAGUUUUGGAUGUACUGACAGAACACAUCCAAGAGUUAGCACCGAGAUGUAUGCUUUUUGCAGAUGAUGCAAUCUUGCUUGGUGAGUUGAGGGAGGAAUUAAAUGGGAGGCUAGAGACCUGGAGGCAAGCCUUAGAAGAGUAUGGUUUCCGCCUGAGUAGAAGCAAGACGGAGUAUAUGGAAUGUAACUUCAGCAAAAGGAGAAGUGGGUCUACCUUGGAGGUGAAAGUUGGAGAUCAUAUCAUACCCCAAGUUACACGGUUUAAAUAUCUUGGGUCCAUAGUACCAAAUGAAGGAGAAAUAGAAGCAGAUGCAAAUCAUCGUAUUCAAGCUGGGUGGUUGAAAUAGAGAUGAGCCUCAGGUGUUUUGUGCGAUAAGAAAGUACCACUUAAAUUGAAAGGAAAGUUCUAUCGGACAGUAGUCAGACUGACAAUGUUGUAUGGUACGAAGUGUUGGGCGGUUAAGAGCCAACACGAAAGUAAGUGUAGCGGAGAUGGGGAUGUUGCGCUUGAUGAGUGGUAAGACUAGACAUGAUAGGAUUAGGAAUGUCACCAUUAGAGAGAGAGUGAGGGUAGCCCCUAUAGUAGAAAAGUUGGUAGAAAAUAGGCUUAGAUGGUUUGGACAUGUAGAGAGAAGACCCGUAGAUGCCGUUGUUAGAAGAAUGAAUCAAAUGGAGGAGAGUCAGGUUAAAAGAGGUAGAGGAAGACCUAAGAAAACCAUUAGAGAAACCAUUAUAAAAGAUUUAGAGGUCAAUGAGUUGGAUCCAAAUAUGGUUUUUGAUAGAACACUACGGCGUCAUUUGAUCCAUGUAGCCGACCCCACUUAGUGGGAUAAGGCUUGGUUGUUGUUGUAAUAUUGGUUGAAAUGUUAGAUCUUACCAAUUCUUGACUAGUUUGCAUAACUUAACCCUAAGCUAUCUAAUUGUUGUAGGUACCUCUACUUGGUGGAACAUUUUGUGCAUGCACAUGACAUUUCUUUUAUAACUCUGACUCCCUUUAGGUAUUGGUAGCUCUUCAAGCGGCACUAACUGUUAUAGGUAAUUUCACAAUGUGCCUAGCCGCAUACCGGAUAUACAAAUCAUCCCGCGAAAGCUCUGAGAAUAUUUGAAGUGUUUGAUUACAAGUAUCUCGACGUAGCAUCUACGCUUGAAUGAAAGUCCUAAUCUUUUACCGAGUUACAAAAUUAUUCAGUGACAAAGAUGGAAUCUAUAAGAUACUGAUACACUUUUGUUCCUUGAUGUUGCUUUUGAUCUUAUCUGUGUAACUUUGGUAUCUAGCUUUCUUUUCACAUGAUACUGUCUCCACUAGAGAAUUCAAUUGCAUACUGAUACAUUAAAGUGACCUUUCCCUGUAUUAUUUGUCAAUGUCAAUAGAAUACUUUGUGUAUAGUACAUUGCUAAGAAUGCUUAAACCUUUUUUCAUUU